rnacentral:rRNA from 1 species
CUUUCCCUCUGGCGGCAUGCCUUACACAUGCAAGUCGAACGGCAGCACGGGUGCUUGCACCUGGUGGCGAGUGGCGAACGGGUGAGUAAUACAUCGGAACAUGUCCUGUAGUGGGGGAUAGCCCGGCGAAAGCCGGAUUAAUACCGCAUACGAUCUACGGCUGAAAGCGGGGGACCUUCGGUCCUCGCGCUAUAGGGUUGGCCGAUAGCUGAUUAGCUAGUUGGUGGGGUAAAGGCCUACCAAGGCGACGAUCAGUAGCUGGUCUGAGAGGACGACCAGCCACACUGGGACUGAGACACGGCCCAGACUCCUACGGGAGGCAGCAGUGGGGAAUUUUGGACAAUGGGCGAAAGCCUGAUCCAGCAAUGCCGCGUGUGUGAAGAAGGCCUUCGGGUUGUAAAGCACUUUUGUCCGGAAAGAAAUCCUUGGCUCUAAUACAGUCGGGGGAUGACGGUACCGGAAGAAUAAGCACCGGCUAACUACGUG